rnacentral:ncRNA from 1 species
ACGUGGGCUCUCUGAAUUACAAGAUUAUGCAACCACACAGGAACCUUACAUAAGCGUAAGCCGUUAAUUGCUGGAUUCAGGAAAUAAAACUCUACUAAUAGCGGGGAAUAACAGAGGUUUGAAGGUGCACUUGAUCUUAUCAGUAAUAUAUAUAUAUAUAUAUAUAUAUAGAUGUGUGUAUGUACACAUUUUUAACGCAAGGAGGCAAGAGAAGCCAUUGAUAGCGUUCUCCUGUUCGGCUAUUCUGUUUUUAUUCUUUUUCUAAACACUUGCAACCAUCUGAAUGAUAGCUACUGAAGGAGGAGCCCAUCCCUG